CUCAUGCCCCUCAAAAGAAAGAAAAAGAGUCAGACAUGAGGGCAGACGUAGGGGUGAAUGUUGGGUGCUCUGUGACUGGUGGUGUGAUCCCGGACAAGCAUCGUGACAUUUCUGAAUCUGUUUCUCACACGUAAAACAGGCCCGAGGAACUUUCCUCAACAAGAGGGCCCUAAAACUGAAAUUGGAUGAUGUGUGGGAAGAGCUGGGGGUUAGCACUCGGAAGUAGACCCUUUGGGGGUCAGAUGACCUUGGGGUGCAGCAGGGACCGAUGCAGAGAGCAGGGCCGUUCUGAGAGCUGGUGGAGGCAGCAGACGGGACCGGAGAAGGGUGGUAUAUCUCAAGGACGGCUGGCGCGCGCGUGUGUGUCUGUGUCUCUGUGUGUGUCUGUGUGUGUGGGUGUGUGUCACCAUGUCUGGGUGUGUGUCCGGGUGUGUGUCUCCAUGUGUGUGUGCAUGCAUGCCUGCAGGCUGAGCCUGGGCCAGAGGAUCUCCGUGCACACUGAGGUCUCAGCUUAAAACCCUAAGGGGGGCUGGUGACAGGUCCUCUCCCCUCUUGGCAUAACUCUUUCCAAGGAAGAGGAGCUGUGCUGAGCUCCAGGGCACUCUCGUACCCAGGCAAGCCCCGUGUGUGCCCUGGUUAUGAACUUGGUCACGUGGGGAGGGCAGUGAAAGACUAAACCUUUCCUGAAUAAACAGGCUUGGGAGGGUGGCAGCCAGGACUUUGAAGAACCAAAAUGCCAGGGCCUAAGAGCUAGACAGUAUUCUGGGGACGCACCUACUCUCGGGCCCGCGGGGAAGUGGCAACAGGCAAUUCCUCCCUCCCGUGACCCUCCCUGCACACCUGCUCAGGGCAGGUGCACCCCUUCUCCCUCCCCCACCCAAGGUUUCAGGAGGAGGAGGAGGGCUCCUGAGGCUGCUGGCAGCCUCACCACCAAACUGUUCUCAUCUCUUAUUGUUCCUGAGAUGGAACAUUUAAAUAAGAGAACUGAUGAUAAGUGGAAGCCAGCAGAAAUCAUUUACUCCCGAGAAAGAAGACAAUUGCUUGAUUUAGACACCAAGUCCCUUGCCUGACUGUUCUCAGUACCAUGGUCUAAAUUUGACCUUGGGAGAUGGAUUGAAAGAGCCGCCUUGUGGGGGAGAGGACAGCAGGCGCCAGGACUCCGGGGCAACAUCUGUGGGCGGAGAACAAUGGCCUGCCUCGCCUCUGAGCCCUGCCCUGGGAGCAGACGCAACAGACUCCCGUCCAAGGCUAGUUCCUGCACCUCGUAUUGGAAGCAGGUCUGCAGCGCAGGGCCUGGGAGCAGGCUGGCAUUGACGCGUCAGCUUAGGCAUUGUUUUGAUCUCAGCUUUCCGUGUUUUCAUCUCCUCCAACCGGUGGGAGGCAGCAGAGAGGAGCUGGUCUGCCGAGGCUUUUUCCAGAACCUUGGGGAAAGCAACUAAACUACAGGAUUACAGAAAGAACAAGAGAUUGCUUUCUUGCAGUGGUGGCAAAGCCAGCAUACUUGGUAGCACUAGAAAAUCAUGGACUGAUCCUAGGAUCCAGAGGCCCUAAAUUAGCCUCCUGAAGGGCUCCUGUUUGGGGCCCAGGCCUAUAACAUGGGCUGUGGAGUCGGGGGAGGCAUUUCUUCCCUUCUUUUCUGGACGCAGGCAUAGCAGGUUCCAGGGACAGGAGGAGAGAGCAGCACUAAAGGCAGACCCUGUUCGCUUUCCAACCCAAGGAAGCUUUGGAAGAAGCAACCCUAGGAAGCUUUUUGAAACAAGGCCACGUCAAGCAUUUUGGAUAUUUCUCUGUAAGAUUUGAGUCCUUGUUGAGUGACUUCAGAUAAAUCUGAGCCUCUGAAGGUUUCUGCAGUUCUAGGAUGGGAGGGAUAACCUUGCAAUUAUUGUAAGUAAUCUUGUAUGUAAGUACUUGUAAAUGAGUAAUCUUGACUGUUUUCGGGUUCUUAUGGUCAUAGUGGGACCCUGUGACCCCUUCCCCCUUUCUGGGAACACACUCCCACCCCUUUGCUACUGGGAAAUGCUCAUUUUCUUGUCACAUUGCUCCAACGGGAGCCAUCACGUCCAUGGGAACCUGCCCUUGGCCACAGUUGAUGGGCCAACGCUGAGCACAAGUCAACUGUGUUUAGUUUUUGCUGUCAAAUGAACUUCCUUCAAAUGUAUUCAAUUUUUUUCUUUCAUGUUUUCGGGGCUUUGGGGGUUUUGGAAUUGUAGACAAUGGGCUGUGGAAUUAUAGGUAGUUGAGCCUGGGCAUCUUUAGAUCAUACGUGUCUAUUUUUCUCCAUUAGAAUGUGAAUUCCUUACGGGCAGCAGUGAACGUCUCCCCCAGGGGUCCUCGGGUUCCCUCAAGUUCAGCAUAUGGCUAAGGUGAAGUUGGGAGUGUGAAGAAUGGGGUGCAGUGAAGUCAAGCCAGAAAACUGAACUUGACAUCUCUCUGCACCUGUUCUUCCACCUGUUUCCUGAGUUAUCCUCUUAGUCAUCCAACCUGGAAGCCUGGGUCACAUGUGACCCUCCCACCCCAGCCUCGCUCAGCCUUCCACAUCCAGUAAAUCUUUUGGUCUUACGGAUUUCAUUUCCUAACUAUUUCUUGAAUUUGCCCCUUCUUACCUGUCCCCUCGUGGUUUGACUUUAUCAUUGCAUGUCUGUAUUAUGAUAAGAGCGCUACUGCUCUUUUUCCUCCAGUUUUGUCUCUCUCCCAUUUCCAUUCUUCACUAGCCCUGCCGGAGUGAUUGAUCUGUAAUGCACAUCUGAACAUGUCACUCUUAUUUAAAGUCUGCCUGUGAUUCCCUACUGCUUGCAGGGUCGAAUCCAGGCUCUAUGGUGCAGCAGAGAUCUGACUCCUCUUCCUGCACCUACCUGCCAUUUCCUGCUUCAUGGACUUUUCUUGUUGGUGCUCUCUUUUUGCUUAGGAUAAUCCAUCCUCUAUUUCUUUAAAAGCCAUCUCAGACUUUAGCUCCUUGAGAUGACAUCUUUGGACCGGACGAAAAGCCCUAGGAUACCCCAUACCCCAUCACUCUACGUGCCUCUAUCACUCAAGAUAUGAUUUUGGAUUGAAAAUAUUUUUUCAAUGACUGUCUCCCGAGCUCGACUGCCGAUUCUCUGAGAAUAGGGACCAUGCCAUAUUUGUCUCUGUAGUCUUAGUUCUUACUAAAUGAUUAGAACUUAAUGGGUUCUUAGGAAAUGCUGAGUAUGAGAAAGAUGCUUCUGGGCUCAUCCGGGAAACUGAUGAGGUAGACCUCCCAGAAGUCUCUGCAAGGCAGUUGAGUAGACUCUGGAAAGAACUUGAAUGUAUGUGUGCUGAAGAGAUCAGAUGUAAAGGGCAAGAUCUUAGUGAACCAGGAUUGUUCUGGAGAAGCCAACGUGCAGGGAAGCCAAGGGGACUGCUGGGUGAAGUCCUUUGGAGGCAUGAUGAGCCUGAUCCUGGGGUGGACACUCCUUGUGAGACGGGAGGAAUAUAGUCCGGUGGCAGUUACUUGAAAUCACCGUAGGCUCAGUGCUAAUAUGUGCUCUCCAGAAAAACGAUGUGAUUCUAACUAAAAAAAGAAAGGGUUCCUUCAACAAACGCUGUCAAGCAUUAGGGCACAAACAGCCUCUUAACAGUGUUUCCAUGAAAGAGAAAGAGCCAUUUCCAACCGAUUCCACUUCAUUCUCCAGUGGGCCACGCACAGCAUUGUAGGUAGUGAGAAGGUCGUGACACCGGCGCUGGUGCAUAUGGUGGAUCAAUGCAGGUGACCAGGAAGGACCUGCAUGGCUCCAGGGAGAAGCAGGCGAGGCCAGAGAGGCAGGUGGAGAAGCCCCCCAGGCAUCUCAGAGCAGCAGCCCAGCCGAGCAGCCGUGGCACCAGCAAUGGGACUUGCUCAAGGGCAGACACCAACCCCCCACCCCCUUCUCUGGAGGAUUUACAGUAAUGCUUGGGGCAACUUUGAGGAAGGCUUUAGUUUGGGUGUGAAUUGGAGGGGAGAGUGGAAGAGACAGGGACAUUUGGGUUCUUACUCAGUGAGACUUCCCAUCUUUUUUUUUUUUUUUUGUCAUUUUGCCAUUUCUUGGGCCACUCCCACGGCAUAUGGAGGUUCCCAGGCUAGGGGUCGAAUCAGAGCUGUAGUUGCCAGCCCACGCCAGAGCCACAGCAACACGGGAUCCAAGCCGCAUCUGCGGCCUACACCACAGCUCACGGCAACGCCAGAUCCUUAACCCACUGCGCAAGGGCAGGGAUCGAACCCGCAACCUCAUGGUUCGUAGUCGGAUUCGUUAACCACUGCGCCACGACGGGAACUCCGAGACUUCCGAUCCAUACUGAUAGGCUAGAGAGCUGACCAAAUUAGAUCUAGAAUCUGAUUCAUAAACGAUUUCUUUUUCUCUUUAUACCCUGGACAUGGGCAUCCUCAUCUGGCCUGGCAGAUGGGUUGGUGCUUGUGGGAGGGUAUAGUCUCCUGUUAUGGGGUGAAUUGUGUUUCCCUCCAAUUCACAUGCUGAAGCCCUAACCCUCCAGUAACUCGGAAUGUGACCUUAUCUGGAAAUAAAGUCGCUGCAGAUUUAAUUAGUUAAGAUGAAGUCAUCAGGAUGAGGACUCAUCCAGUAUGACUGGUGCCCUCAUAAAAAGGGGAAAUUUGGGUACAGAUAAGCGCACAGAAGGUACACCGUGUGACAAUGAAGGCAGAGAUGGGGAUAAUGUCUUUCUGAGCCAAGGAACGCUAAGGAUCGCUGGCAAACCAGCAGAAACCAGGAGAAAGGCCUGGAACAGACUCUCUCGCGUUGCUUCCAAAGGGAAUCAACCCUACCGACACUAGGAUUUUGAACAUAUAGCCUCCGGAACAGUGAGACGAGCCGUGAAGAUGGUCAAAUAUUCCAGAAGACGCAGCUGUAGGAUGACGGGCCGUCUGUUAACCUGGGUCUGCCAGUGACUGCAUGGAGCAGAGUCGUACUGCCUCUUAUUCCAAAAGCAGCAUGGACAAGAAGGAAACUUUCAUGAUGCGAAGCCACUGAGAUCCAGGACUUUUUACCACAGCACAGCCUGGCCCAGGAGUUCUCAGUCUGGUCGGCUGACUUGGGGACAUCAGAAAGGCCCACGUCCCCCCCAGGAAGAGCAGAGUUUGAUGAUGUCCGUUCCACCAGGGAGGAAGUGAGGCUCCGAGGUGUCAUUUACCGACUGCACAGAAUCACAGCUUGCUGUCCUAGAGAAGUGAGAGCCUGUGGUCAGCAGAGGGCAGUCUUGUUCUAACAACUACUUGGAGUCAUGGCUAAAGUGGUGCCUAUCUUUUCCAGACUUCUAAGCAGUCUCCAGCUCACCCUGCUGACCAGCCUCUUUUGGAUGCAUCUGUGGGCAGUGAGGAAAUGAUGAGUUCAGAUACGCCUUCUCUGUGCUCCUCCUCUGGUAAACGGACCCCGGAGGCAGGGAGCUUCCAUUUUCCCUCUGCCUUUAAGCUCAUCGCUGGAUGGCUCCUGUUUCCUCCAGAGCCUUAAUCUUCUUCCCUGCAGAAUGGGGCGGUCAACUCUCCUUUCCUGCCCACCUUGCUGGACAGGAAGAGAGGGUGUGUGACUAAACCUGGGAUAAGAUAAACUCCAGGAGAGCCUGGUGCUCUGGCCAUUUCCAUCUGGGUCUUGGAAUUGGGGUGUGGAGAACAGCCUAAGCAAGUCUGCGUGGCUCUGGAGGAAGCACCCUCUGGGGAACCCCCCGUGGGGCAGUUAGCUGUCUCCCGACUCACUGCUCUGAGAUGUGUUGCCAACCAGCUGCUCAGCUCACUUGCUGUCUUUCCUUCUCUGUCCUUUCUUCCACUUUUUCUCCCUUCUCCCUCAAACUCACUCCUUUACCCCUAUAUCUAGUGCAACCGUAUUUUUCAAAUUGAAAGUUGGGAUAUAGUCUGACCAUGGGUCAGGGUAUUUGCAAUCUGGACAUUGAUGGGCAUUCUAGAACAUUCGAUCACUCAAGCACUCUUAUUUCUUCUUCCUCAUUUGCCCUACUGCUGCUCUGGGCUAUGACUAAAUGGCCACAAGACAACCAGUGGGGGGGUCAACGGGAUGCCAAAUAUCCAGAUGUUUAGAAAUGUCCAGAUUGUGGAUUGAAAUGUUGCAGUUUUGCUUAUUAUGGGUGCUUGGAGCCUGGUGGACGCAAUUCAAUAAAAACAAAUAGAUGAAUAAAUAAAGAUAAUCUCUAUAACCCAA
rnacentral:lncRNA from 1 species